GAUGAACGCUGGCGGCGUGCCUAAUACAUGCAAGUCGAGCGAACAGACGAGGAGCUUGCUCCUCUGACGUUAGCGGCGGACGGGUGAAUAACACGUGGAUAACCUACCUAUAAGACUGGGAUAACUUCGGGAAACCGGAGCUAAUACCGGAUAAUAAAUUGAACCGCAUGGUUCAAUAGUGAAAGACGGUUUUGCUGUCACUUAUAGAUGGAUCCGCGCCGCAUUAGCUAGUUGGUAAGGUAACGGCUUACCAAGGCGACGAUGCGUAGCCGACCUGAGAGGGUGAUCGGCCACACUGGAACUGAGACACGGUCCAGACUCCUACGGGAGGCAGCAGUAGGGAAUCUUCCGCAAUGGGCGAAAGCCUGACGGAGCAACGCCGCGUGAGUGAUGAAGGUCUUCGGAUCGUAAAACUCUGUUAUUAGGGAAGAACAAAUGUGUAAGUAACUAUGCACGUCUUGACGGUACCUAAUCAGAAAGCCACGGCUAACUACGUG
rnacentral:rRNA from 1 species